UACAGAGGUCCCAAGCGUUGUUCGGAUUCACUGGGCGUAAAGGGUGCGUAGGUGGUGAGGUAAGUCUAAUGUGAAAUCCCGGAGCUCAACUCCGGAACUGCAUCGGAAACUAUCUCGCUAGAGGGUUGUAGGGGGGACUGGAAUUCUCGGUGUAGCAGUGAAAUGCGUAGAUAUCGAGAGGAACACCAGUGGCGAAGGCGAGUCCCUGGACAACACCUGACACUGAGGCACGAAAGCUAGGGGAGCAAACAGG
rnacentral:rRNA from 1 species